CCUACGGGUGGCAGCAGUGGGGAAUAUUGGGCAAUGGGCGCAAGCCUGACCCAGCAACGCCGCGUGAAGGAAGAAGGCUUUCGGGUUGUAAACUUCUUUUCUGAGGGACGAAGAAAGUGACGGUACCUCAGGAAUAAGCCACGGCUAACUACGUGCCAGCAGCCGCGGUAAUACGUAGGUGGCAAGCGUUAUCCGGAUUUAUUGGGUGUAAAGGGCGGGUAGGCGGGAAAGCAAGGCAGAUGUGAAACCUCAGGGCUCAACCCUGAGCCUGCAAUUGAAACUGUUGUUCUUGAGUGCAGGAGAGGCAAGCGGAAUGCGGGGUGUAGCGGUGAAAUGCGUAGAGAUACGGAGGAACACCAGUGGCGAAGGCGGAAUGCGGGACAGUAACUGACGCUGAGGCGCGAAAGCGUGGGGAGCAAACAGGAUUAGAUACCCCAGUAGUC
rnacentral:rRNA from 1 species